rnacentral:tRNA from 1 species
GGGGGUGUGGCUCGGUGGUAGAGUGCUUGCCUAGCAUGCAGGAGGCCCUGGGCUCAACCCCAGCACUGCAA